rnacentral:rRNA from 1 species
GAUGAACGCUGGCGGCGUGCCUAAUACAUGCAAGUCGAGCGAACAGACGAGGAGCUUGCUCCUCUGACGUUAGCGGCGGACGGGUGAGUAACACGUGGAUAACCUACCUAUAAGACUGGGAUAACUUCGGGAAACCGGAGCUAAUACCGGAUAAUAUAUUGAACCGCAUGGUUCAAUAGUGAAAGACGGUUUUGCUGUCACUUAUAGAUGGAUCCGCGCCGCAUUAGCUAGUUGGUAAGGUAACGGCUUACCAAGGCAACGAUGCGUAGCCGACCUGAGAGGGUGAUCGGCCACCCUGGAACUGAGCCACGGUCCAGACUCCUACGGGAGGCAGCAGUAGGGAAUCUUACGCAAUGGGCGAAAGCUUGACGGAGCAACGCCGCGUGAGUGAUGAAGGUCUUCGGAUCGUAAAACUCUGUUAUUAGGGAAGAACAAAUGUGUAAGUAACUAUGCACGUCUUGACGGUACCUAAUCAGAAAGCCACGGCUAACUACGUG